UAUGAAGUCCGACGUAGCUUAAACCUUCUUGCUUUUGCGGAUGGACCCCGAACAAGUCCCUCCUUUCCCGUUUCUUCUGGACGAGCUCCUCCGAGGCUGCUCGCUCUAGCUCUUGAUUUGGCAUUCUUUUCGCCACCUCAGCCCUAAAUCCUUCAAUCCCCUGCAUUCAAACUAGUUAUGUUAGCUAUAACUAUAGGCGUUGAGAACAUAUUUAUCUUCUAAAAACUCGAAUUCAUCAACAAGAUCCUUACGAGUUCGUCAAUGAGCCACAUCAUCCUAGUCUUUUGUCGGUUUCCUCUAAACCCGAGAUCCCUGAACGCUUCCAAGACCGCUUUACACGAAGGAAUGACAUCCUCGGCCGCCACCCAAGCAUCAAGAGGAAUCGCCUCUUCGCACCUCUUGGGACUAAAGAACCCACCAACCAACAUGUUGAACCCAAACCUCCCAUCCUUGGUAGCCGGCAUAUAUGCUAGAUCGUUGAUGUGAGGAUGCUCAUAUAGGUCAUGUGAACCCACAACACAAACAUUCCAUUUCCUUGGCCUGCAAAACCAAACCAAAUCAACCGGUUAGAUUGAUUAAACCCUAAAACAGUUAGUUUCAAACCAUUCAAAACGUGGUAACUCACAAAUUGGUAAGGGCAGUGUUGCCAGCGGAAUUGGCAGUGAUGAACUGGGACAGCAAGUUGGUGUAAGGCCUGGUGUCAACGAUCUCAUCAGGGUCGAUUCCGGCGAUCGGAUUCCCAACGGGG
rnacentral:lncRNA from 1 species